CGUUAUAGAUCCCUCAUGACACAUGUUUAUAUCAGUUUAGUAGAAGAGCAGUUUUUAAGAAAUCAAGUUCUUUUUUUUGUUUUUUUAACUUGUGAACAGCAUCCUCUGCUGGUCCUCUAUCGCCGGGGCCUGUUAAGCAGAAUAGCGACGUCAAACCUAUUCUACAAAACAGUGCAGCCUGACUGGCAGCCACCUGCAGUGGUGGUCUCCAAGGAGGAAGAACCUGCCGAUAAGGACACUGAGGCAGCUGGAGAUUUCAGUGAUGACCAGCCUGACAUUACAGACACUGAUAGUCUAAGUCUUGUCAGCUGCGACUCACUUGACUUUGUUUAAGCCCCCAUUCCCCUAUAGGGUCCUCAGUGACUCACCUAGUAAAAUCACUGCCUUGUGGAGUGCAGGUGGUGUCAUGCAAUCGGAAGCUUGCUAAUUCAAAUCCUGGUUGCGUCAAGUUGCCGAUCUUGGCUGGGGACCCUUAUUGAGCGCAUCAUUGGCCACUGCGCUCCCACGGGUUAGGGAGGGAAAAUCGGAUGGGGUUGGUUCACCUCACUGUGCCACAGCAACCCCUGGCAGGCACCUGACGAGACCGGGCAGAGACCUGCCAAGCUUACUGUAACUCUUUCCAUCCAGGGUUCAGUAGCUUGGCCACAUUCGCUGCUUAGGUUCGUCAGGUGUAACGUUACGAUUAGCUAGACUCCGUGGUCAGUAUGUGGGUUGCUGCAGUGAGGUGACACUGAAAUUGGGCAUUUCAAAUUAGGGAGAAAUAUUGGGCAUUUCAAAAUAGGGUGAAUAUCCAGGCCUUUCAAAUUGGGAAAAUAAUAUUUGGGCAUUUCAAAUUGGCAUAAUAACUGACUGAUUGGGCACUCUAAAUCUAAAUCAAACAUUGUCAUGAAUCCAGGCAUUUUAUAAAUCCUUUAUUGCCAAAAGGAACCCCACCAUUAACCAACGCACCUAUCAGAAACCUGGACAACGAAGACAAUCAGAAUCCACUGGCUGUUCUGAAAGCACCCGUGGCGGAUUGUGCUGUCCAUGGGUAUCAAUAGGAACCAAGUUUAGCCUCUUUGUUGUCCACUGGCCGCCCUGAGUCACCCGUGGUGGAAUGUGCAGAGAAGAAGAAGCCUUCUUUUUUGCUGCCAUCCAUGGGUGUAAACAGUAGGAGCUUGAUCACACAGCUAACAAUCCACUGGCCGUCCUGAGUCACGCGUGGUGGAAUGUGCAGAGAAGAAGAAACCUUCUUUUUUGCUGCCAUCCAUGGGUGUAAACAGGGAUCAAGUGGAGCUUCUUCCUUUGGAUGAGGAGCUGGAUCCAACAGCUAUUAAUGGUCCUGUAUCGCUGUGCACUGAGGCAGCAGGACACCACAGCAACGAUCAUCUAUUUCAUUAUAUCUGAUGUGAUGAUCACAUGCUGGACAGAUAACCUCCUUAAACCACUGAGAACUGUGGCCCUCAAGCAAAGUCUUGAGCUUUACCAGCUCUUCAGAUUAUUUUAUUGCUGGUUUGUCAA